AUGCUGGGAAUACCAACUAACACUUGUUACAGAGUGUGCAUGGCGGCUGCUGACAGGCCUUCCCAGUGCCAGCAAGUGGAUACAGAAGCAAUCUCCCAAGCUUUCCAUGACAUUCAAGUGACCAGGCACUUGGACACCCAUCACUGGGGCUGUGUUCCUACCUUAGCCAGUGCCCACAAGCAGCAGCGGUUCCUCUGGCGUUUUGACCCUGAAACAAUGAGCAGAGAAGAGAUGCUGUUUCAAAAUGGGAAAAGCCAGUGGGUAUCUAGGGGAAUUCCGGGCAGAGAUAAAUUGGCCCACAUGACAUCACAGGGAAAACUCAAGGUCAAAUGAGUCCUUUAAUUCAAGCAUCAGUGGGACUGCGAAGGCUAUGUACAUGUCUGCCAACUAAAGGAUGAACACUUAUAUGUUUAUCUGUGACUUCUAAGUAAAGAAUUCUACUUUGUCCAUUCAUCUAUGGAUGGACAAGUAGGUUGCUUCUAUAUCUUGUCUAUCGUAAAUAAUGCUGUCAUGAACAUAUAUCUUUUCUAAUUAGUAUUUUUGUUUCCUUUGGGUAAAUACCCAGAAGAAUUGCUGAGUUGUAUGGUGAUUCUAUUUUUAAUUUAUUGAGGAACCUCCAUACUGUUUUCCAUGACGAUCGUACCAAUUUACACCCCCACCGACAUUGCACAUGCUUCCCUCUCCUCCACAUCUUUGCCAACCCUGGUUAUUUGUUGUCUUUUUGAUGACAGUCAUCCUGACAGAUGUGAGGUAGCAUCUCAUUGUGGUUUUGAUUUGCAUGUCCCUGAGGAUGAGUAAUAUUGAGUGUCUUUUCAUAUGUCUGUUGGCCUCUGUAUGUCUUCUUUGGAAAAAUUUAUGUUUGGGCCCUCUGCCCAUUUUUUUUUUCCCUUUUUAUGGCCACACAAGAGGCACAUGGAAAUUCCUGAGCUAGGGUUGAAUUGGAGAUGCAGCUGUGAGCCUACUCCACAGCCACAUCAGNUUUUUUUUUUUUUCCUUUUUAUGGCCACACCCGAGGCACAUGGAAGUUCCUGAGCUAGGGUUGAAUUGGAGAUGCAGCUGUGAGCCUAUUCCACAGCCACAUCAGCACUGAAUCUGAGCCGCAUCUGUGACCUACCCUGCAGCUUGUAGCAACACUGGAACCUUAACUCACUGAGUAAGGCCAGGGAUUGAACCUGCAUCCUUACAGAGACAGCAUUGAGUCCUUAAUCUGCUGAGCCACAACUGGAACUCUUUCUUAACCCAUUUUUUAAUAGGGUUUUUUAUAUUGAGUUUUAUGACCUCUUUGUAUAUUCUGGAUAUUAACACAUUAUGAGAUAUAUCUUUUGCAAAUAUCUCCCUCCAUUUUGUUAAUAGUUCCCUUUGCCAUGUAAAAGCUUUGUGUAUAUACACACACACGCAUACACACAUACACACACACACACAUGCACAGUGGAAUAUUACUUAGCCAUAAAAAUUGAAAUCUUGCCAUUGGGGAAAACAUGGAUGGGUCCAGAGGGUAUUAUGCUAAAUGAAAUAAGUCAGACCAAGAGAGACAAAUACCAUACAGUCUCACCUAUAUGAAGAAUCUAAAAAACACAACAGACAAAAUGAAAUAAAAAUGGAUUCAUACAGAUGAGAACA
rnacentral:lncRNA from 1 species